AGGACGAACGCUGGCGGCGUGCUUAACACAUGCAAGUCGAGCGAGGCCCUUCCUUCGGGAAGGUGCCCUAGCGGCGAACGGGUGAGUAACACGUGGGCAACCUGCCCCUAGCACUGGGAUAACUCCGGGAAACCGGGGCUAAUACCGGAUAUGACCUUUGAAGGCAUCUUCGAAGGUGUAAAGGAUUCUGGCUAGGGAUGGGCCCGCGGCCUAUCAGCUUGUUGGUGGGGUAAUGGCCUACCAAGGCGACGACGGGUAGCCGGCCUGAGAGGGCGACCGGCCACACUGGGACUGAGACACGGCCCAGACUCCUACGGGAGGCAGCAGUGGGGAAUAUUGCACAAUGGGCGAAAGCCUGAUGCAGCGACGCCGCGUGAGGGACGACUGCCUUCGGGUUGUAAACCUCUUUCAGCUCCGACGAAGCGAAAGUGACGGUAGGAGCAGAAGAAGCACCGGCCAACUACGCGCCAGCAGCCGC
rnacentral:rRNA from 1 species